rnacentral:rRNA from 1 species
AUCUGCAAUUCUUUUUUUCUGAUUUUGGAAGCUAAGCAGCAUCAGACAUGGUUAGUUCUUGGAUGGGAGACCACCACUGAAUAGCAGGGAUUGCCAGCUG